rnacentral:rRNA from 1 species
GAUGAACGCUGGCGGCGUGCUUAAUACAUGCAAGUCGAACGAAGAGUGUAGCAAUACAGUCUUAGUGGCGAACGGGUGAGUAUCGCGUUGGUGACCUGCCCCGAAGUGAGGGAUAACAGUUCGAAAGGACUGCUAAUACCCCAUGUGGUCAUAGAGAUUAGAAGCUUUAUGACUAAAGGUGCAAACCGCUUCGGGAGGGACCUGCGUCCCAUCAGCUUGUUGGUAGGGUAACGGCCUACCAAGGCUACGACGGGUAGGGGACCUGAGAGGGUGGCCCCCCACACUGGCACUGAAACACGGGCCAGACACCUACGGGUGGCUG